GGGCCCGCACAAGCGGUGGAGCAUGUGGUUUAAUUCGAUGAUACGCGAGGAACCUUACCAGGGCUUAAAUGUAGUAUGACCGGCUUGGAAACAGGCCUUCUCUUCGGAGCAGAUUACAAGGUGCUGCAUGGUUGUCGUCAGCUCGUGCCGUGAGGUGUUAGGUUAAGUCCUGCAACGAGCGCAACCCCUAUUCUUAGUUGCCAGCGGUUCGGCCGGGGACUCUAAAGAAACUGCCCGUGAUAAGCGGGAGGAAGGUGUGGAUGACGUCAAGUCCUCAUGGCCCUUACGGGUUGGGCUACACACGUGCUACAAUGGUAGUGACAAUGGGCUAAUCCCAAAAAACUAUCUCAGUUCGGAUUGUCGUCUGCAACUCGACGGCAUGAAGUCGGAAUCGCUAGUAAUCG
rnacentral:rRNA from 1 species